UACGUAGGUUGCGAGCGUUGUCCGGAAUCACUGGGCGUAAAGGGUCUGCAGGUGGUCUGUUAAGUCUCUUGUGAAAUCUCCGGGCCUAACCCGGAGAGGCCGGGGGAUACUGGCAGACUUGAGGCCGUCAGAGGGAAACGGAAUUCCCGGUGUAGUGGUGAAAUGCGUAGAUAUCGGGAGGAACACCAGUGGCGAAAGCGGUUUCCUGGGGCGGUCCUGACACUCAUAGACGAAAGCGUGGGGAGCAAACCGG
rnacentral:rRNA from 1 species